rnacentral:rRNA from 1 species
CUACGUGCCAGCAGCCGCGGUAAUACGGAAGGUCCAGGCGUUAUCCGGAUUUAUUGGGUUUAAAGGGAGCGUAGGCUGGAGAUUAAGUGUGUUGUGAAAUGUAGACGCUCAACGUCUGAAUUGCAGCGCAUACUGGUUUCCUUGAGUACGCACAACGUUGGCGGAAUUCGUCGUGUAGCGGUGAAAUGCUUAGAUAUGACGAAGAACUCCGAUUGCGAAGGCAGCUGACGGGAGCGCAACUGACGCUGAAGCUCGAAGGUGCGGGUAUCGAACAGGAUUAGAUACCCUGGUAGUCCGCACAGUAAACGAUGGAUGCCCGCUGUUGGUACCUGGUAUCAGCGGCUAAGCGAAAGCAUUAAGCAUCCCACCUGGGGAGUACGCCGGCAACGGUGAAACUCAAAGGAAUUGACGGGGGCCCGCACAAGCGGAGGAACAUGUGGUUUAAUUCGAUGAUACGCGAGGAACCUUACCCGGGCUUGAA